rnacentral:lncRNA from 1 species
UUUAUAGGAAAAUGUUAGCACACCGAAGCAGACUUAAGCUGCAACCCGAUGGCUUUACCUGCUACUAUUCCCACCCACCACAUUUGAAUAAAAAUCUCAGUACAUUUUCACCAACCAAAAGUGGGGCCAACCAAUUCUAGAAUUUUCCACCAAAAUCAUUUAUAACCUAAUUUUCGAAUCAGUCACCUCUUAAAAUUCAU